UAACUGGGGCAGGUUCUUUUAAAGGUUCUGGUGUAGGUUCCUUUACAGGUUCAGGUGUAGGUUCCUUUACUGGUUCAGGUGUAGGUUCCUUUACUGGUUCUGGUGUAGGUUCCUUUACUGGUUCAGGUGUAGGUUCCUUUACAGGUUCUGGUGUAGGUUCCUUUACUGGUUCAGGUGUAGGUUCCUUUACAGGUUCUGGUGUAGGUUCCUUUACUGGUUCAGGUGUAGGUUCCUUUACAGGUUCUGGUGUAGGUUGCUUUACUGGUUCAGGUGUAGGUUCUUUUACAGGUUCUGGUGUAGGUUCCUUUACAGGUUUGGGUGUUGGUUCUUUAACUGGAUCUGGCUCUUCUACCUCCUG